AUCGAACGCUGGCGGCAUGCCUAACACAUGCAAGUCGAGCGAGCGGCGGACGGGUGAGUAAUGUAUGGGCACCUGCCCGAUAGAGGCGGAUAACUACUGGAAACGGUGGCUAAUACCGCAUACUAUGGGCUGAACCCCUAUGGGAUUAGCUAGUAGGUGGGGUAAAGGCUCACCUGGGCGACGAUCUCUAGCUGGUCUGAGAGGAUGAUCGGCCGCACGGGAACGGAGACACGGCCCAUAGUCCUACGGGAGGCAGCAGUGGGGAAUAUUGGGCAAUGGUCGCAAGUCUGAUGCAGCCAGGCCGCGUGUAUGAAGAAGGCGUUAGGGUUGGAAAGUACUUUCAGCGGUGAGGCGGUACUCGCAGAAGAAGCACCGGCUAACUACGUGCCAGCAGCCGCGGUAAUAC
rnacentral:rRNA from 1 species